GGGUAACCUGCCUGUAAGACUGGGAUAACUCCGGGAAACCGGGGCUAAUACCGGAUGGUUGUUUGAACCGCAUGGUUCAGACAUAAAAGGUGGCUUCGGCUACCACUUACAGAUGGACCCGCGGCGCAUUAGCUAGUUGGUGAGGUAACGGCUCACCAAGGCGACGAUGCGUAGCCGACCUGAGAGGGUGAUCGGCCACACUGGGACUGAGACACUGCCCAGACUCCUACGGGAGGCAGCACUACGGAAUCUUCCGCAAUGGACGAAAGUCUGACGGAGCAACCGCCGCGUGAGUGAUGAAGGUCUCCGGAUCGUAAAGCUCUGUUGUUAGGGAAGAACAAGUGCCGUUCAAAUAGGGCGGCACCUUGACGGUACCUAACCAGAAAGCCACGGCUAACUACGUGCCAGCAGCCCGCGGUAAUACGUAGGUGGCAAGCGUUGUCCGGAAUUAUUGGGCGUAAAGGGCUCGCAGGCGGUUUCUUAAGUCUGAUGUGAAAGCCCCCGGCUCAACCGGGGAGGGUCAUUGGAAACUGGGGAACUUGAGUGCAGAAGAGGAGAGUGGAAUUCCACGUGUAGCGGUGAAAUGCGUAGAGAUGUGGAGGAACACCAGUGGCGAAGGCGACUCUCUGGUCUGUAACUGACGCUGAGGAGCGAAAGCGUGGGGAGCGAACAGGAAUAGAUACCCUGGUAGUCCACGCCGUAAACGAUGAGUGCUAAGUGUUAGGGGGUUUCCGCCCCUUAGUGCUGCAGCUAACGCAUUAAGCACUCCGCCUGGGGAGUACGGUCGCAAGACUGAAACUCAAAGGAAUUGACGGGGGCCCGCACAAGCGGUGGAGCAUGUGUCUAAUUCGAAGCAACGCGAAGAACCUUAC
rnacentral:rRNA from 1 species